rnacentral:rRNA from 1 species
GACGAAGGGGGCUAGCGUUGUUCGGAAUUACUGGGCGUAAAGCGUGUGUAGGCGGUUGUCCAAGUUGGAUGUGAAAGCCUUGAGCUCAACUCAAGAAAUGCAUUCAGGACUGGAUGGCUAGAGGACCGGAGAGGAUAGUGGAAUUCCCAGUGUAGUGGUGAAAUACGUAGAGAUUGGGAAGAACACCAGUGGCGAAGGCGGCUAGCUGGACGGUUUCUGACACUAAGACACGAAAGCGUGGGGAGCAAACAGG